CCCCACACAUACAAUUAUCUGUAAGGUCCCUCAUCUCUGUACCCCCACACAUACAAUUAUCUGUAAGGUCCCUCAUCUCUGUACUCCACACAUACAAUUAUCUGUAAGGUCCCUCAUCUCUGUACUCCACACAUACAAUUAUCUGUAAGGUCCCUCAUCUCUGUACUCCACACAUACAAUUAUCUGUAAGGUCCCUCAUCUCUGUACCCCACACAUACAAUUAUCUGUAAGGUCCCUCAUCUCUGUACCCCACACAUACAAUUAUCUGUAAGGUCCCUCAUCUCUGUACCCCACACAUACAAUUAUCUGUAAGGUCCCUCAUCUCUGUACCCCACACAUACAAUUAUCUGUAAGGUCCCUCAUCUCUGUACCCCACACAUACAAUUAUCUGUAAGGUCCCUCAUCUCUGUACCCCACACAUACAAUUAUCUGUAAGGUCCCUCAUCUCUGUACCCCACACAUACAAUUAUCUGUAAGGUCCCUCAUCUCUGUACCCCACACAUACAAUUAUCUGUAAGGUCCCUCAUCUCUGUACCCCACACAUACAAUUAUCUGUAAGGUCCCUCAUCUCUGUACCCCCACACAUACAAUUAUCUGUAAGGUCCCUCAUCUCUGUACCCCCACACAUACAAUUAUCUGUAAGGUCCCUCAUCUCUGUACCCCACACAUACAAUUAUCUGUAAGGUCCCUCAUCUCUGUACCCCACACAUACAAUUAUCUGUAAGGUCCCUCAUCUCUGUACCCCACACAUACAAUUAUCUGUAAGGUCCCUCAUCUCUGUACCCCACACAUACAAUUAUCUGUAAGGUCCCUCAUCUCUGUACCCCACACAUACAAUUAUCUGUAAGGUCCCUCAUCUCUGUAACCCACACAUACAAUUAUCUGUAAGGUCCCUCAUCUCUGUACCCCACACAUACAAUUAUCUGUAAGGUCCCUCAUCUCUGUACCCCACACAUACAAUUAUCUGUAAGGUCCCUCAUCUCUGUACCCCACACAUACAAUUAUCUGUAAGGUCCCUCAUCUCUGUACCCCACACAUACAAUUAUCUGUAAGGUCCCUCAUCUCUGUACCCCCACACAUACAAUUAUCUGUAAGGUCCCUCAUCUCUGUACCCCCCCACAUACAAUUAUCUGUAAGGUCCCUCAUCUCUGUACCCCCACACAUACAAUUAUCUGUAAGGUCCCUCAUCUCUGUACCCCACACAUACAAUUAUCUGUAAGGUCCCUCAUCUCUGUACCCCCACACAUACAAUUAUCUGUAAGGUCCCUCAUCUCUGUACCCCACACAUACAAUUAUCUGUAAGGUCCCUCAUCUCUGUUCCCCACACAUACAAUUAUCUGUAAGGUCCCUCAUCUCUGUACCCCACACAUACAAUUAUCUGUAAGGUCCCUCAUCUCUGUACCCCCACACAUACAAUUAUCUGUAAGGUCCCUCAUCUCUGUACCCCUCACAUACUGUAAGGUCCCUCAUCUCUGUACCCCCACACAUACAAUUAUCUGUAAGGUCCCUCAUCUCUGUACCCCCACACAUACAAUUAUCUGUAAGGUCCCUCAUCUCUGUACCCCCACACAUACAAUUAUCUGUAAGGUCCCUCAUCUCUGUACCCCCACACAUACAAUUAUCUGUAAGGUCCCUCAUCUCUGUACCCCCACACAUACAAUUAUCUGUAAGGUCCCUCAUCUCUGUACCCCACACAUACAAUUAUCUGUAAGGUCCCUCAUCUCUGUACCCCACACAUACAAUUAUCUGUAAGGUCCCUCAUCUCUGUAUCCCCACACAUACAAUUAUCUGUAAGGUCCCUCAUCUCUGUACCCCCACACAUACAAUUAAUUAAGGUCCCACAAUGCAAUGAAUUUCAAAACAUUAGAUUCAACCACAAAGACCUCCCAAAGAACGGCACCUAUUGGUAGAAACAUACUAGUUUUUUUAAAGCAGACAUUGAAUAUCCCUUUGUGCAGUUAUUUAAUUACACUUUGGCUCGUAUCAAUGCACACAAAGAUACAGACGUCCUUCCUCACUCAGAUGCCGGAGAGGAUGAAAAGCAGUCAGGGAUUUCACCAUGAGGCCAAUCGUGACUUUAAAACAGUUUAACAAAAUGUAAUAAUGGCUGCGAUAGAAUAAAGCUGAAGAUGGAUAAACAACAUUGUAGUUACUCCACAAUAAAUAAAUUGACAGAGAGAGAAAAAAGAAGGAAGCCUGUACAGAAAAAAAAUAUUCCAAAACGUGCAUCCUGUUUGCUACAAGGCACUAAAGUAAUACUGCAAAAAUAAUGGCAAAACAAUUAGCAUUUUGUCCUGAAUACAAAGUGUUAUGUUUGGGGCAAAUACAAUACAUUACUGAGUACCACAAAUUCUUAUUUACAAUGACAGCCUACAAGAAGACACUAAAGUAAUACUGAAACAAAUGGGGCAAAGCAAUUCACUUGUUGUGCUGAAU